UUUUCUCUUGAAAACCCUUUCUUAAAACCUCUUUCUUUCAAACCAUUUUCUUGGUUAAAGAUUCUCGUUUUCAAACUUCAGCAAGUGAGGUUAUUGUUCUAAAUAAGGGUUUUAAUUUGAUGUAGCAGUUAGUAGAAGACUUGCAGAUUCAGUUGAAUUUGUCAAAUAUCUUCAGGUAUAAUAUCUCUAUGAAAUUUCCCAUGCUUCCAUUACUAGUGGAAACAAGGGGAUCUAGAUCUGCAACUUUCUCAGAGAGAAAAAGAGCUGCUCAAAAGAAGUUAAAGGAUGUGAUGGCUGAAUUUCAGGCUGAUUUUAAGGCAAAAUAUCAGCCAAGGGUACCGAGAGGUCGUCGAGAGUAGGGUCUUUACAGUGACAAGAGAAGAGCUGACUAGGAGACAAUUGACCAAUUGAUUGAGACUGGAAACAGUGAGCAAAUCCAGAAAGCUAUUGAGGAACACUGUCGAGGCCAUGUAAUGGGCACCCUGACGGAAAUUCAGGAACGUCAUGAGGCAGCUAUAGACGUCGAGAAGAAUCUUCUUGAGUUGCAGCAGGAGUGGACAUGUGGUACCUAAAGUAUAGGAUGAAUAAUGAGUUUCGGGGACCUUCCAGAAAUCAAGUAAUAACCAUUGUGUGGUGUGUUUCCCAUUCAUGUUUAGCUUCUCAACUUUGUUCUUUGCUAGGUGAUGCCAUACAGUACAAGCUGCGAAACUCCACUUUUAAACUUUGAAACUAAUUCCAAUUACAAGGUAUGAGGGGUUUCAGUGGUAUUUGUGAAUCAUGGAUGAAAUUUUGGCGUCAUCAUCUCCGUUAGUACCAAGACUGGACAAUGAAAAACUCACUGCUCACUCGUAUGUGUGAUGUGUCACUGAAAUGGUAUUUGUUUUUGUUGAUACUUGUCAUUCUUCAGAAACUGAAAGAGCAUAAGAAAUGUUUGGAUGCUUGCUUAUGUAUCAUGUAAAACAACUACACAUUUAGAAUUACAACUGUAGAAUUUCGAUGUUCACAUAACUUU